GACUCGGUGGCGAGGGGUCUCGCAUCCGCAACAUUUGAAUGCGGUCAUUUGAAAUCAAUUCAGCGGAAGCACUGGUUCGAUUCCAGGCUGGGUCA